rnacentral:rRNA from 1 species
CAAUAGCGUAUAUUAAAGUUGUUGCGGUUAAAAAGCUCGUAGUUGGAGUUCUGCCAGGUGCCGCCUGUCCGCCCCAGUGGUGAGUACGUGGCGCGCAUUUGGCCCUUUCAAGGGGAGCGUAUCUGCACUUUAUUGUGUGGUGCGGGAUCCUUGACUUUUACUUUGAGGAAAUAGGAGUGUUCCAAGCAGGCUCUCGUCGUGCACAGCUCAGCAUGGAAUAAUAGCAUUGGACCUCGAUUCUAAGCUGUUGGUUGCCAGAAGCGAGGUAAUGAUGAAGAGGGAUAGUUGGGGGCAUUCGUAUUUAACUGUCAGAGGUGAAAUUCUUGGAUUUGUAAAAGACGGACUACUGCGAAAGCAUCUGCCAUGGAUGUUUUCAUUGA